CGCCUCUUGACAAAAUAUAAGAGGUCUAGCCUGCCCAGUGACUCUGUUUAACGGCCGCGGUAUCCUAACCGUGCGAAGGUAGCGUAAUCACUUGUUCUUUAAAUGAGGACUAGUAUGAAUGGCAUCACGAGGGUUAUACUGUCUCCUUUUUCUAAUCAGUGAAACUAAUCUUCCCGUGAAGAAGCGGGAAUAAGACUAUAAGACGAGAAGACCCUAUGGAGCUUUAAACAAAAUAACAAUUGCUUCUUUAUUUUAAAAUUCCAGAAAUUUAAGUACUAUUCUAGCACUAUGAUUAUCAGUUUUAGGUUGGGGUGACCGCGGAGUAAAAAUUAACCUCCACAUUGAAAGGAUAUUUUCCUUAGCAAAAAGCUACAACUUUAUGCAUCAAUAAAUUGACAUUAAUUGACCCAAUAUUUUGAUCAACGAACCAAGUUACCCUAGGGAUAACAGCGCAAUCCACUUCAAGAGCUCCUAUCGACAAGUGGGUUUACGACCUCGAUGUUGGAUCAGGGUAUCCCAGUGGUGCAGCCGCUACUAAAGGUUC
rnacentral:rRNA from 1 species